UCUAGCAGGACACACCUGGCAAUGGAUGUGACAUUCAGCACUGCCCAGGAGGUGGCAAACUGGUGAUUGGAAGGAGGCAGUCCUCUGACAGUGGGAUGCUAGGGAGCGAUAAUAAGGCAACUUUGCUUGCUUGAAGGCUGCUGAUAUCCAUGGCUGGAAGCUGACAGACAUCUCAUGAUGGACCUAAGAGAAGCUGGCAGAUGUUGGUGAAAACAUUAUCUGGAGAGCUCAUCUCAGACUGCAGCAAGCAGAUGAAGGGUAAAGCUAAAGGUAAAGGACCCCUGGAAGUUAAGCAACUAUGGGGUUGCGGCGCUCAUCUUGCUUUCAGGCCGAGGGAGCCGGCGUCUGUCCACAGACAGCUUUCCGGGUCAUGUGGCCAGCAGGACUAAACUGCUUCUGGGUGCAACGGAACACCGUGAUGGAAACCAGAGCGCACAGAAACGCCGUUUACCUUCCCGCCACAGCAGUACCUUUUUAUCUACUUGCACUGGUGUGCUUUCAAACUGCUAGGUUGGCAGGAGCUGGCAGGGAUUCGAACUGCUGACCUUCUGAUUGGCAAGCCCAAGAGGCUCAGUGGUUUAGAACACAGCGCCACCCGCAGCUCUGAGGUAGUCUCAUAUAUAUUACACUCUGGCAUGAGAUGACGGAGUUUAAAAACCAGACUUGAGUUCUCUCAGAUUGUUGUCAAGGUAUUGUGUCUGGGAAUGUUCAGAAGUGAUUCAGCUGCAUCACAUUUCUACAGUACGAUAUUCGGCUAUUGAGAAAUUAAGCUACUCCCCGCCCCCAUUGCCAUGGCAGCCUCCAUCUCCCACAUAAUUCUCCCUUUUCUUAGUAUAUUUGUUACUAAUGCAUGUUUUGUUUCCAGUACAUUAAAAAGGCUACGUUUGAAGAUAAAUCAUCUACUUAUACCACUUUUCCUGCCGCAGUCAAGAACACCAAGAAAAAAGGAAGUAAUUUUUUUAAUAAAAGAAACCAGAGCAGAGACUUUUUAUAAGUCUGGAAUGAAAAGAAAUGGAGUUUUCUGUGUUGCUGGGAAAGGCUGUUUGACAUCUUAGUGGCUUAGCAGUCAGUCAGUAAUUGUCAGGUUUGCUGAACUAGACUGUGGUUUUGCCUCUUGAGUUAUAAAACCACAGUUCUACUUUUGGACACCCCCAAGUAGCAUAAAAGGGGAAUUUCUUGGCAGCCAAGGAGUAGAAAGAAAAAGCAGAAAUGGCUGGUGAAACAAGGAACAAAAGAUUUCAAUUUCGUGGAAAUUUUGUCUCUUAUUCUCCAGUAAGUAGUCUGAUGGUGCUAUAUGAAAAUGUUUUCUUGAAACUUUCACUCAGGGAACUCAUUCAUCCUUUUAGAUCUGUUGCCUCAUGAUGGCUCCCUGAGUGAGAAAAAUUAGAUCUGUUAGGAUAUGGGACAGAUCCUCUUGCACUGUGGCUCCCACAUAGUGGAUCACCCUUUCUGAGAUCUCUAUCAGGCAACAUAUCUCAGUCUCAGGAAUGGCAAAUCUAUCACUUUCAGUUUCUCUAUCUUUUUGCAAGGGGCUGUUCCAAAGGUGUGAUUAGAUUAGAUAAUUUAUUACGGCCUGAGACCAGCUUAUGAAACACACUUGGGG